rnacentral:ncRNA from 1 species
AAAUAGUAAUGUUUUCGAGCCUUCUAUCCUACAGCCUUAUGGCUAUGGAUAAUCGGACGAAAGGUGCGUUUAUCGCUCCCCAGGGUAUAGCUGGAAACGGCUGUGCCUCCCGUGUUUGGAAAGAAGAUAUGGCAUGUUUAUC